GGUUAUAUAACGCAAUGGUAGCGCGUUUGCUUUUGUAACGGGAGGUUUUGGGUUCGAUUCCCAGUGCAACCU
rfam:Gaeumannomyces graminis var. tritici R3-111a-1 unplaced genomic scaffold supercont2.4, whole genome shotgun sequence.